AUGGCGAGAUGCAUCUGUGCAUUAGCUGAUGAGGAUCUUACGGAAACCAUUGUCUCCAACCAGACGGACGAUGCAAAGUUGUGGAUGUUGUGGCUUGUUGACACCCUUCCUUCGAUGGAGCUUGCGCGCGUCCUCGUGAUGAUGUGGGCUAUUUGGUUGGCACGGCGUCGAGCUAUCCACGAUGAUCAGUACCAAAGUCCACUAAGUACGCACAUUUUCAUUGAGAAGUUCUUGUCAGAGCUGGAGGCGAUCCCCAGCGAGAAGGAACGGCCCAGGGACCGAAUUGCAAAAUCCAAGGACCUGCCUGCUACGGCCAGGGACUUGCAUGUAACAGCCAGGGACUUGCAUGUAAUGGCCGGGGGAGGCUCAGCGCAGCGCGUCGAAGCAGUUCAGACGACCUGGCUCCCGCUGGCGAAGCAUGAUGUGAAGAUUAAUGUUGAUGGCGGUUUUUCCAAGGUUGGGGACCGAGGAGCUUCGGCGGUGGUCUGUAGGGACAGGCACGGUGAUCACCAAUAUCCAUACUGGAUCCCCUUGUCGAUAUGUUGCUAUCUUGGAGGAAAUCAAGCACAGGAGGCGUUCGAUCCAAGAUAUUCAGUUUGUGCAUGA
rnacentral:rRNA from 1 species